rnacentral:rRNA from 1 species
UACAGAGGGGGCAAGCGUUAUUCGGAAUUAUUGGGCGUAAAGGGCGCGUAGGCGGCCUGACAAGUGGAAGGUGAAAUCCCUCGGCUUAACCGAGGAACUGCCCUCCAAACUGUUUGGCUUGAGACCGGGAGAGGUGAGUGGAAUUCCCAGUGUAGCGGUGAAAUGCGUAGAUAUUGGGAGGAACACCGAUGGCGAAGGCAGCUCGCUGGGACGGUACUGACGCUGAGGCGCGAAAGCGUGGGGAGCGAACAGG